rnacentral:rRNA from 1 species
CCAAUAGCGUAUAUUAAAGUUGUUGCAGUUAAAAAGCUCGUAGUUGAAUUUCGGGAUUCUUCCGUUGGUCAGGCUAACAAGUCUGUACUAGCGUGUAGAAUCUCUACCUUCUGGGGAACCAUCAUGUUAUUAAUUUAGCGUGGUGGGAAACCAGGACCUUUACCUUGAAAAAAUUAGAGUGUUCAAAGCAGGCUUACGUCUGAAUACAUUAGCAUGGAAUAAUAAAAUAGGACGGUGGUCCUGUUUUGUUGGUUUCUGAAUCACCGUAAAGAUUAAUAGGGAUAGUUGGGGGCAUUAGUAUUCAAUUGUCAGAGGUGAAAUUCUUGGAUUUAUUGAAGACUAACUUCUGCGAAAGCAUUUGCCAAGGAUGUUUUCAUUAAUCAAGAACGAAAGUUAGGGGAUCGAAGACGAUCAGAUACCGUCGUAGUCUUAACCAUGAACUAUGCCGACUAGGGAUCGGACGAUGUUAAAUUUUAUUGACUCGUUCGGCGCCUUACG